rnacentral:pre_miRNA from 1 species
CAGUGCUGUGGGUCUCUGGAGCCAGAGCUCUGAGCACAUCCACCAUGGUCUGGACCCCUUUCCUGCUCCCCCUCCUCACUCUCUGCACAGGUGC